GGGUCAGUAGGUUGGUCGUGCCACCGGUACGUACUGGUCUCACUGAUUCCUCCUUCCUGAAUAACCGUAAUGCCAUUAAUUUGGUGUUGCGGGGAAACAGGACUGUUACUUUGAAAAAAUUAGAGUGUUUAAAGCAAGCUAACGCUUGAAUACAUUAGCAUGGAAUAAUGAAAUAGGACGAUCGAUCCUAUUUUGUCGGUGUCUAGGAUUGACGUA
rnacentral:rRNA from 1 species